GACGAACGCUGGCGGCGUGCCUAAUACAUGCAAGUCGAACGAGAGCACCCGGUGCUUGCACUGGUCAAUCUAGUGGCGAACGGGUGAGUAACACGUGGGUAACCUGCCCAUCAGAGGGGGAUAACAUCCGGAAACGGAUGCUAAAACCGCAUAGGUCUUCGAACCGCAUGGUUUGAAGAGGAAAAGAGGCGCAAGCUUCUGCUGAUGGAUGGACCCGCGGUGCAUUAGCUAGUUGGUGAGGUAACGGCUCACCAAGGCCGUGAUGCAUAGCCGACCUGAGAGGGUGAUCGGCCACAUUGGGACUGAGACACGGCCCAAACUCCUACGGGAGGCAGCAGUAGGGAAUCUUCCGCAAUGGACGCAAGCCUGACGGAGCAACGCCGCGUGAGUGAAGAAGGUUUUCGGAUCGUAAAACUCUGUUGUUAGAGAAGAACAAGUGCUAGAGUAACUGUUAGCGCCUUGACGGUAGCUAACCAGAAAGCCACGGCUAACUACGUG
rnacentral:rRNA from 1 species